rnacentral:lncRNA from 1 species
UCCGGAUUGUAGUUCAUUCCAAAUAUAGUCAAGUUGACAACCAGGAAUAGCCACUACAGUCACUCAGAGACUCUCGUAGAUGGGCUCCUGGAAAAAUCAUGGCAGAAAAAAAUCAGGGCGCCAUAGUGCUUCCAAAAGAGAAAGAAAGACCCAGAAGCCGGGAAUGGGCUCAAGAGCUGGUCAUAGACUUCUUUUUUCAUUAAUUUGUUUAUUUGUUUGUUUAUUUUUUAUUGGAUAUUUUCUUUAUUUACAUUUCAAAUUUUAUCCCCUUUCCAGCCCCCGAAACACCUUUAUCCCAUCCCUUUCUCCAUGCUUCUAUGAAGAUGUUCCCCUAUCCACCCACUCAAACGUCCCUACACUGAGGGAACGAGCCUUCACGGGACCAAGGGCUGCUUCUCCCAUUGAUGUCUGAUAAGGCCAUCCUCUGCUACAUAUGUAGCUGGAGCCAUGGGUGCCUCCAUGUGUACUCCUUGGUUAGUUGUUUGUUUAGUCCCUGGGAGCUCUGGGGCCUGGGGGGGGGCUGGUUGGUUGAUACUAUUGUUCUUCCUGUGGGGUUGCAAAACCUUUCAGCUCCUUCAGUCCUUUCUCUAACUCCUCCAUUGGGGACCCUGUGUUCAGUCCAAUGGUUGGCUGCAAGCAUCUACCUCUCUAUUUGCCAGGCACUGGCAUAGCCUCUUAGGAGUCAGCUAUAGCAGGCUCCUGUCAGCAUGAACAUCUUGGCAUCUAUAAUAGUGUCUGGGUUUGGUAACUGUAUAUGGGAUGGAUUCCCAGGUGGGGCAGUCUCUGGAUGGCCUUUCCUUCAAUCUCUGCUCCACACUUUGUCUCCAUAUUUGCUCCUUUUCUGAAAAGCAAUACCAGAAGUAAAAUGAAGUGCCAUGUUGGGGAGGGACCUGCUCCACACCAAGAGGUGUUUGAUGAUACUGACCAAGGAGGAAAGCCGUACUGAAAACCUUAUACGGAGCUGUAGUGGUAAGGUCAGAGCCCUAGAAUGUCAGACCUGCUCUCAGCUUGCUGAAACUCUGGCUCCUCUGACGUCAUCAUCGUGCAGCCUCUCUGCUUUCACCAGUUUUAUGAGAGCAAUGGAGUGGUUGCCAUUUAUGCCUUCUGUACAGAUUGAUCAGCACUGACAGACAGCAGAUCUAUUGAGGCAAAGGCCUACUCCUCACACUGACUUCACAUCAUCUGCAGUGCCCGAGGAGCUACAAAACCUUAUCCACCCAAUCCUUGGCACUCAGAAAGAGCCGGGCCUAAUUAACAUAAAUAAAUGGAAAAUCCAACU